rnacentral:rRNA from 1 species
AUUGAACGCUGGCGGCAUGCUUUACACAUGCAAGUCGAACGGUAACAGGUUAAGCUGACGAGUGGCGAACGGGUGAGUAAUGCAUCGGAACGUGCCCGGUCGUGGGGGAUAACGCAGCGAAAGCUGCGCUAAUACCGCAUACGAUCUGAGGAUGAAAGCGGGGGACCGUAAGGACUCGUGCGAUCGUAGCGGCCGAUGUCAGAUUAGGUAGUUGGUGGGGUAAAGGCUCACCAAGCCAACGAUCUGUAGCUGGUCUGAGAGGACGACCAGCCACACUGGGACUGAGACACGGCCCAGACUCCUACGGGAGGCAGCAGUGGGGAAUUUUGGACAAUGGGCGAAAGCCUGAUCCAGCAAUGCCGCGUGCAGGAAGAAGGCCUUCGGGUUGUAAACUGCUUUUGUACGGAGCGAAAAGGUCUCCUCUAAUACAGGGGGCUCAUGACGGUACCGUAAGAAUAAGCACCGGCUAACUACGUGCCAGCCGCCGCUGUAA